UAGUGGCGAACGGGUGAGUAACACGUGGGCAAUCUGCCCUUCACUCUGGGACAAGCCCUGGAAACGGGGUCUAAUACCGGAUACGACACGGGGUCGCAUGACCUCCGUGUGGAAAGCUCCGGCGGUGAAGGAUGAGCCCGCGGCCUAUCAGCUUGUUGGUGGGGUGAUGGCCUACCAAGGCGACGACGGGUAGCCGGCCUGAGAGGGCGACCGGCCACACUGGGACUGAGACACGGCCCAGACUCCUACGGGAGGCAGCAGUGGGGAAUAUUGCACAAUGGGCGAAAGCCUGAUGCAGCGACGCCGCGUGAGGGAUGACGGCCUUCGGGUUGUAAACCUCUUUCAGCAGGGAAGAAGCGAGAGUGACGGUACCUGCAGAAGAAGCGCCGGCUAACUACGUGCCAGCAGCCGCGGUAAUACGUAGGGCGCAAGCGUUGUCCGGAAUUAUUGGGCGUAAAGAGCUCGUAGGCGGCUUGUCGCGUCGGAUGUGAAAGCCCGGGGCUUAACCCCGG
rnacentral:rRNA from 1 species